GGAACGGUAGUCUAGAUUGGUAUGAUUCCUGCUUGGGGUGCAGGCGGCCGGGAGUUCAACUCUCCCCCGUUCCA
rnacentral:tRNA from 2 species